GUGGUCAGCUUUGGCAGCACAUAUAUUAAAAUUGGAAAGAUACAGAGAAGAUGAGCACGGCCCCUGCACAAGGGUGACAUGCAAAUUCAUGAAGCAUUCCAUAUUUUU
rnacentral:snRNA from 1 species